rnacentral:rRNA from 1 species
AUUGAACGCGGGCGGAAUGCUUUACACAUGCAAGUCGAACGGUAGAGGGGGCAACCCCUCGAGAGUGGCGAACGGGUGAGUAAUAUAUCGGAACGUGCCCAGUCGUGGGGGAUAACGUAGCGAAAGUUACGCUAAUACCGCAUACGAUCUAAGGAUGAAAGCGGGGGAUCGCAAGAUAUCGCGCGAUUGGAGCGGCCGCUAUCAGGUUAGGUAGUUGGUGGGGUAAAGGCUCACCAAGCAAACGGUCCGUAGCUGGUCUGAGAGGACGACCAUCCACACUGGAACUGAGACACGUUCCAGACUCCGACGGGAGGCAGCAGUGGGGAGUUUUGGACAAUGGACGCAAGUCUGAUCCAGCCAUUCCGCGUGCAGGAUGAAGGCCCUCGGGUUGUAAACUGCUUUUGUACGGAACGAAAAGGUCUCUCUUAAUACGGGGGACUCAUGACGGUACCGUAAGAAUAAGCACCGGCUAACUACGUGCCAGCCGCCGCCGUAA